rnacentral:rRNA from 1 species
GACGAACGCUGGCGGCGUGCUUAACACAUGCAAGUCUAACGGAAAGGCCCUGCUUUUGUGGGGUGCUCGAGUGGCGAACGGGUGAGUAACACGUUAGUAACCUGCCCUUGACUUUGGGAUAACUUCAGGAAACUGGGGCUAAUACCGGAUAGGAGCUCCUGCUGCAUGGUGGGGGUUGGAAAGUUUCGGCGGUUGGGGAUGGACUCGCGGCUUAUCAGCUUGUUGGUGGGGUAGUGGCUUACCAAGGCUUUGACGGGUAGCCGGCCUGAGAGGGUGACCGGCCACAUUGGGACUGAGAUACGGCCCAGACUCCUACGGGAGGCAGCAGUGGGGAAUAUUGAACAAUGGGCGGAAGCCUGAUGCAGCAACGCCGCGUGCGGGAUGACGGCCUUCGGGUUGUAAACCGCUUUCGCCUGUGACGAAGCGUGAGUGACGGUAAUGGGUAAAGAAGCACCGGCUAACUACGUG